rnacentral:rRNA from 1 species
AACCUACCUAUCAGAGGGGAAUAACCCGGCGAAAGUCGGACUAAUACCGCAUAAAACAGGGGGCACCGCAUGGUGAUAUUUGUUAAAGAAAUUCGCUGAUAGAUGGGCAUGCGUUCCAUUAGGUAGUUGGUGAGGUAACGGCUCACCAGCCGACGAUGGAUAGGGGAACUGAGAGGUUGGUCCCCCACACUGGUACUGAGACACGGACCAGACUCCUACGGGAGGCAGCAGUGAGGAAUAUUGGUCAAUGGGCGGGAGCCUGAACCAGCCAAGUCGCGUGGAAAAGGAAGAAGGAUCUAUGGCUCGUAAACUUCUUUUGCAGGGGAAUAAAGUGCAGGACGUGUCCUGUUUUGUAUGUACCCUGAGAAUAAGGAUCGGCUAACUCCGUGCCAGCCGCCGC